UUGUCCGGAAUCAUUGGGCGUAAAGCGCGCGCAGGCGGUCCUUUAAGUCUGAUGUGAAAGCCCACGGCUCAACCGUGGAGGGUCAUUGGAAACUGGGGGACUUGAGUACAGAAGAGAAGAGUGGAAUUCCACGUGUAGCGGUGAAAUGCGUAGAGAUGUGGAGGAACACCAGUGGCGAAGGCGACUCUUUGGUCUGUAACUGACGCUGAGGCGCGAAAGCGUGGGGAGCAAACAGG
rnacentral:rRNA from 1 species